rnacentral:rRNA from 1 species
AGUGAACGCUGGCGGUAGGCCUAACACAUGCAAGUCGAACGGCAGCACAGUAAGAGCUUGCUCUUACGGGUGGCGAGUGGCGGACGGGUGAGGAAUACAUCGGAAUCUACUUUUUCGUGGGGGAUAACGUAGGGAAACUUACGCUAAUACCGCAUACGACCUACGGGUGAAAGCAGGGGAUCCUCGGACCUUGCGCGAUUGAAUGAGCCGAUGUCGGAUUAGCUAGUUGGCGGGGUAAAGGCCCACCAAGGCGACGAUCCGUAGCUGGUCUGAGAGGAUGAUCAGCCACACUGGAACUGAGACACGGUCCAGACUCCUACGGGAGGCAGCAGUGGGGAAUAUUGGACGAUGGGCGCAAGCCUGAUCCAGCCAUACCGCGUGGGUGAAGAAGGCCUUCGGGUUGUAAAGCCCUUUUGUUGGGAAAGAAAAGCAGCAGGUUAAUACCCCGCUGUUCUGACGGUACCCAAAGAAUAAGCACCGGCUAACUUCGUG